GAUGAACGCUGGCGGCGUGCCUAAUACAUGCAAGUCGAGCGAACGGACGAGAAGCUUGCUUCUCUGAUGUUAGCGGCGGACGGGUGAGUAACACGUGGAUAACCUACCUAUAAGACUGGGAUAACUUCGGGAAACCGGAGCUAAUACCGGAUGAUAUUUUGAACCGCAUGGUUCAAAAGUGAAAGACGGUCUUGCUGUCACUUAUAGAUGGAUCCGCGCUGCAUUAGCUAGUUGGUAAGGUAACGGCUUACCAAGGCAACGAUGCAUAGCCGACCUGAGAGGGUGAUCGGCCACACUGGAACUGGGACGCGGUCCAGACUCCUACGGGAGGCAGCAGUAGGGAAUCUUCCGCAGUGGGCGAAAGCCUGACGGAGCAGCGCCGCGUGAGUGAUGAAGGUCUUCGGAUCGUAAAACUCUGUUAUUAGGGAAGAACAUAUGUGUAAGUAACUGUGCACGUCUUGACGGUACCUAAUCAGAAAGCCACGGCUAACUACGUG
rnacentral:rRNA from 1 species